CAGCCGCCGCGGUAAUGCGAAGGGUGCAAGCGUUAAUCGGAAUUACUGGGCGUAAGCGUGCGUAGGCGGUGAGUUAAGUCUGCUGUGAAAUCCCCGGGCUCAACCUGGGAAUGGCAGUGGAUACUGGCUCGCUAGAGUGUGUCAGAGGAUGGUGGAAUUCCCGGUGUAACGGUGAAAUGCGUAGAGAUCGGGAGGAACAUCAGUGGCGAAGGCGGCCAUCUGGGACAACACUGACACUGAGGCACGAAAGCGUGGGGAGCAAACAGGAUUAGAUACCCGCGUAGUCCCUGUCUCUUAUACC
rnacentral:rRNA from 1 species